GACGAGGCCGUCCUCGGUCCAUCCAGGUCCUGAAGCACCAGAACAAAGACGAGGCCGUCCUCGGUCCAUCCAGGUCCUGAAGCACCAGAACAAAGACGAGGCCGUCCUCGGUCCAUCCAGGUCCUGAAGCACCAGAACAAAGACGAGGCCGUCCUCGGUCCAUCCAGGUCCUGAAGCUGUUUUGCCCUUUAUUCGCCUGUUUUCAGCCCGCCUGUAGGAAGGCAGCGGUAGGAUACGGACCUUAUUUCAUCUGUUCAUUAAAAGUGUUGGAAGUCUAUUGGAAGUGACUAACAUUAUUUGUGCUCUAUCUUUGUUUGAGCCCCACAGCAAUAUUUGUUAAGGUAAUAAUUGAGGGCCUUGUCCUGAGUGUUUGGAGAAGCUAACUGUUAGCGAUUUAGCAUCACUCAUUGAGACUUUUAGGCCUGUGUUCAUGUUACAGUCUGUGGUUCAUGUUUUCCAACCAAAAUGGUUCAACAGAACGUUUGUAUGAUGUAUACUUUGUUUAGUCGGUUACUGGUGGACAUGAUUGUUAAUUUAUGGGCAUUUUCAGAGCUAAUAACCAGGUUCUAGUUCAUGCUUAUUCCACUGUAGUAAGUUCUCAUAGACCUGUAAUUAUAUUUGUAUUUGUUUUUUGUUUUUUUUGUAGAAAACACACAUAUUCACAACAUUAAUGCCUAAGUCUAAGUAAAAGAUGACCUCAGAGUUAAA